UACGAAGGUGGCAAGCGUUGUUCGGAUUUACUGGGCGUACAGGGAGCGUAGGCGGUUGGAUAAGCCCUCCGUGAAAUCUCCAGGCUUAACCUGGAAAGUGCAGAGGGGACUGUUCAGCUAGAGGAUGGGAGAGGAGCGCGGAAUUCCCGGUGUAGCGGUGAAAUGCGUAGAGAUCGGGAGGAACACCGGUGGCGAAGGCGACGUCCUGGACCGGCAUUGACGCUGAGGCGCGAAAGCCAGGGGAGCAAACGGG
rnacentral:rRNA from 1 species